AACGCGAAGAACCUUACCUGGGCUUGAACCGCACAGGACCAGUUUGAGAAAUCAGACCUUCCCGCAAGGGACCUGUGUAGAGGUGCUGCAUGGCUGUCGUCAGCUCGUGCCGUGAGAUGUUGGGUUAAGUCCCGCAACGAGCGCAACCCUUGUCCUGUGUUGCCAUGUUCGCAAGAACGGAACUCGCAGGAGACCGCCAGCGAUAAGUUGGAGGAGGGUGGGGAUGACGUCAAGUCCUCAUGGCCUUUAUGUCUAGGGCUACACACGUGCUACAAUGGCCGGUACAAAGCGUCCCGAAGCCGCGAGGUGGAGGCAAUCGCAAAAAACCGGUCUCAGUUCGGAUUGCAGGCUGCAACUCGCCUGCAUGAAGCUGGAAUCGCUAGUAAUGGCAGAUCAGCACGCUGCCGUGAAUACGUUCCCGGGCUUGUACACACCGUAGAGAC
rnacentral:rRNA from 1 species